CGUUCUCAGUUCGGAUCGGAGUCUGCAACCCGACUCCGUGAAGCUGGAUUCGCUAGUAAUCGCGCAUCAGCCAUGGCGCGGUGAACACGUUCCCGGGCCUUGUACACACCGCCCGUCAAGCCAUGGGAGCCGGGGGUGCUUGAAGUGCGUCGCCGCAAGGCGCGCCCUAGAGCAAAACCGGUGACUGGGGCUAAGUCGUAACAAGGUAGC
rnacentral:rRNA from 1 species